CCCGCCCCGAGCUGCGGCCUUGGUGCGGCUGAGGAGGUGGAAGGUGUCCCCAAGAGCCACGGGCUGGGGGAAAGGCUGUGUUAGCUCACAGGGGCCCUCCCGCAUUGCACCGGGACUGUGGCAGGAUCCUGGCUUGUCCUGCACUGUGUAGUAACAGCCACGUACCUGCUAGCAAUCACAACUCGGAGACUACACAGACAUUUCCCACCUCAACCCCAAUGACCUCCUCAGAUGUUACAGUAUCCUCCCUGCUUCCCAAGCAGAAACAAACAGCUGCAUCUCGGAUGUCUCUGGUCAAGGGGAGACCAGUGGCUGUUAACAACCUGGAUGAUGUCCCUAGUUUAUGCUCUCCCAAAUGGGCUAGACCCUGACAUCUCCACACAGGGAAGUUUCACCCAUCCCCUUCUCAUUGGUUGUUUAGUGGGUUGCAAAAAACAUGCUGCUGGAGCUACUGCUGUUUUCUGCAAGGGAGAAUGCAUCUUCCUGUGCAAGACUGGUUUCCAGGAACAACUUGAGUCACUCACCCUGCAGAACUGAGCAAUCUCUUCUGCUUUCAAAGCUUAUGAGACACAGGUGUGGGCUCUGUGAAGAAACACUGCUGAAUCCCUUUGGAUUGUGCCUAGAUGUUUCCACUUGUUGAGGAAUACAUUUGGUAUUGUGAGCUCAGUGUGCAGCUGAAGGGCAAAUGACUGGACACUCAAAGGCAGCAGGAGCCAAUGAUGCCAGGUUUUGGCACGCUUAGACUGUUAGGGUAUAAAAGCCAAGAAUUUCCCUUUUUUGGGGUCCCUCCUUGGAGGCACACAGCUCAAGUUGUUAUUUUGUUGUUCCACCAUGAUUAAAUUAUUUUAAGGAUCCUGACAUCUGAAGGUCUGCUAUGGGGGAAACCUGGGGCUGAGCUGGUAAAGAAACCUGGUCUGACUGGGAUGGGGGGUGGUGUGUAGCCAUGAAGGGGCCUUCAUCCCAGUUCAGGUGGUGCAAGUGUGACUGCCAGUGUGGCUCCUGAGUGGUCACACAAGAGCGACCCUCCUUGCUUUGCUCUACUCAGUAGCUGAGAGGGGAGGGUUAACACCCUCUUUGCUUUGCUCCAGACUCAGUAGCUGGGACUACUGACUGGAGGUGCAGCCAGAGGUGCUUUGGGAAUGGUAGGGCAGGGCAAUAUUAUGAGACACCUGUAAAACAGCGAUGUGGAUGGGGUAAUAUAGGAUCUAGGUUCCUCUAUCCUAGUAAAAUUAAUGUUGCCAGGUGCUGCUAUUUUGCCUGCUCUGUCAAAUAGAAGUGUCUAUU
rnacentral:lncRNA from 1 species